AGUCUAGCAUGUGCGCGAGUCAUUGGGACUCAAUAAACCUAAAGGCACAAUGAAAGUGAAAGUCUGUUUACGCGGACUUAGGGAAGAUAGGUGCGUACACUUGUGUACAACCUCGCACUCCCGGGGCGUCUCGCACUCAUUGCGAGGUGGGGCGCACCAAGAGCGUACACGCUGGGACCCGAAAGAUGGUGAACUAUGCCUGGUCAGGACGAAGUCAGGGGAAACCCUGAUGGAGGUCCGUAGCGAUUCUGACGUGCAAAUCGAUCGUCGGAACUGGGCUUAGGGGCGAAAGACUAAUCGAACCAUCUAGUAGCUGGUUCCCACCGAAGUUUCCCUCAGGAUAGCUGGCACUAGAUUAUGGAUGAGUCUCAUCCGGUAAAGCGAAUGAUUAGAGGCAUUGGGGUCGAAACGGCCUCAACCUAUUCUCAAACUUUAAAUGGGUGAGAUCUCCGGCUUGCUCGAUUUAUGAAGCCGGAGAUCGGAUCAAUUAGUGCCAAGUGGGCCACUUUUGGUAAGCAGAACUGGCGCUGUGGGAUGAACCAAACGCAGAGUUAAAGCGCCAAAAUCGACGCUUAUGGGAUACCAUGAAAGGCGUUGGUAACUUAAGACAGCAGGACGGUGGCCAUGGAAGUCGGAA
rnacentral:rRNA from 1 species